UGAAAAUUUCAGCAAAGAAAAAAGACCCACUUUUGGCUUCCAAACACAGGUGCAAUAUGAAAAUCAAAAACGUCAUCUUGGUCUUCUUGGCUAACUGAGUGUGGCUCUCCAGGUGUAAAUACCCUUUUGUUGCAGAGCAACAUAGAGAUGGUCAACAAAUGUUUUGCGUACAUCUUCACCUCUAAAACUCAAGAAAACAUCGUAACUACACCGAAAAGUAUGAUCAGGGGAGGCAGAGGAAGGAUAAGAUCUCUUCUGCAUCAUUUAUGUUGGCUAUAUAUGGCUGUUGCUUCAAACAAGAAGCUGGAGAAGAGGAAAGCUACUUAAUGCGAGCUACUCUAUUACAUUAAUGCUAAUUUAUGACUACACUUAGUUGCAGAAGUGUCUUCGCAAUUACUAUAAUUAUAUAUAUGCACGACAAAAGGGGUGUCAUAAUACUCAAUAUAGUAAUUGAAAUUAUUGUACAUAGUCAUCUUCCAUCAAAAAAAAAAAAAAAAAGCAGCUGAGGAAGUCCGUCAACGCAACCAGACAGAAAUGCUUUUUUCUAAAGCAAGUAGCAUGAAUUAGAACAUGACGACAACUCUUUGAGUGCAUUAAUUUUUUCUGACUACUUUAUUCGGCAGACGACAGGGCAACCCAUGAAAGUCUUUUUUUUUUUUUCAUAAAAUAUUCUCUUAUACUUAAUCAUAUAUAUAUAUAUAAAAAGCAGGCCAAAGGCCCGCUGUGACAUGCCUCGUUGUUGAAAUCUAUUUAUCCUUUUUGUCAAUUUUUUGCCUUUUUAAGUUUUAAAAAUGAUUUAAAAAAAGUGUUAUAAAGAAAAUUGGAACAGUCAUGCCCUUUCGGAAAGUCACGCCCUUGCAACCUGAAUUUUUAUUAGGUAAUUAAAUUAACCUACAGUGAUAGAAAAUGAAAACAUUCCAAUUCCCAAAAAAAAAAAAAAAAACUACAACGACAAUCUCCGUACUGCGUGGCUUCGCUGCCCUGAUAUCUUGGAGGCUGUUUGUUUUGUUGCUAACGCCGACAUCUCUCCGCGCAAACGCUUCGCUCGCGGUCUUGAUUGGUAGACCACCAUUUCUGCAUAUAGAGACUAGAUGAGGCGAUAGUUACAAUAGACAAGGCGUCGUCGAAAUCUAAAGCCUAUGAUUUUGUAACUUUCAAGCAUGUUUAUUCUAUGAAUCUUUCUUCCGAAUGGAACCACUAGAUUUGUAGAUGCUGGGGUUUCUUGAGCAUGAAGCAGAGCAAGGAUAGGAGGCAUCAACAACUACAACAGUUGCCAUGAUUUUGGUACUUCUACAAUUUUCACUUAAUCGUGAUUUUGGCGAACUUGAAACUUGAUUUUGGAGACGUGUAUGAAUCGGAAAAGGUCAGCAGACAGGUGGACUUAAUCCUUAGGAGCUCUACCAGCGGUACUCUACAGUGCUCCAGUUGUUCCGGAGCCUCACUUCCGCGGUACUAUUUUGUGUAUGUAUAUUCGGGCACGGCAGUACCCGGCCCUUUCUAUGUAUAAGUGUACUAUGUCUAGAGGCUCGUAGACAGAUACGUACAGUCAGUCAGGUACAGAUAUAUGUAUAGUGUUUUGGCAUGUUAAUAUUGUUGUACAAGGUAAUAACGGAGUUUAUUAGUUUAUGUUCAAGGAAAAAAAAAAUGGCUCGGUUUACACGGCUUGCUAAGAGGUACAGGUAAUACGAUAGAUAAGGGGUGCUCGGUACAAGUAUCGGGUACUUAUCACGGCCCCUAGUCGGGUCGUGACAGUCUUGGGUU